rnacentral:sRNA from 1 species
GUCGUGUUUCUAUCGUUGCUAGCAUUUUUCUCUCUUAUUCAUAUCAAAUAAACCUAAGUGGUUGGGUUUGAAAAGUUUCCACCUUAUAGAAUACCAUUAUGUUCGAGCUUCACCUACCAACAAGAGGAGAGGAUAAGUUGAGAAAAGAUUGAGGAAGUAGUUAAUCGAGGGAAUCGAUAUGGAAGGAUUCGAAGCCAUUUGGGGAGCAUAAAAGAAGGGUUUCUUUAAUCUCAACCCAUAACAAGUGUCCAAUUCACAAUGGGUCCAACCUGCCAACCUUAUGAAUAGUUUGUUGGUACUACUAAAACACUUCUUUCCUUUUUCUCUCUUGCUAUUCCCUCUCUAUAAAAAUACGACAAAAACACAGCCACAAUUUCUAUCCAAAUGUUUUCGUAAAAGGAUGUAGAGGAAAUGAUGCUCAUUGGUUAUAUUUUAAAACAAAAAAGUGUCUUAUAUUCCAUCAAUUCUAGAUGGAUAAAUGUUAUUGGUUUAAAUGUAGACACACGCAUAUUGCUUCCUGCAGAGAAGGAUUCCCUAUAGAUAUCAUCCUCUAAACAAAUAGUCACUCACACUCUGUACAUGAUUUACUUCAAAUUUGAUAAAAU